rnacentral:rRNA from 1 species
GACGAACGCUGGCGGCGUGCUUAACACAUGCAAGUCGAACGAUGAAGAAGAGAAACGCGAACUUCGGUUCAAAUUUCACUUCGGAUUAGUGGCAGACGGGUGAGUAACGCGUGAGCAACCUACCUCUUACAAAGGGACAGCCUCGGGAAACCGUGAUUAAUACCAUAUGACACAUUCAUAAGGCAUCUUAAGAAUGUUAAAGCUACGGCGGUAAGAGAUGGGCUCGCGUCCCAUUAGCUAGUUGGUGAGGUAACGGCCCACCAAGGCGACGAUGGGUAACCGGCCUGAGAGGGUGAACGGUCACAUUGGAACUGAGACACGGUCCAAACUCCUACGGGAGGCAGCAGUGGGGAAUAUUGCACAAUGGAGGGAACUCUGAUGCAGCGACGCCGCGUGAGCGAUGAAGGAAUUCGUUUCGUAAAGCUCUGUUCUAUGGGAAGAAAAGGACUGUACCAUAGGAGAAAGCCCCGGCUAAAUACGUG